CCAAAUAAGUUGACUCUUCAAAUAAGAUUGAUUAAUGGAAGUUGAAAAUCACAAACCAUUCUCAUUGAAAAGAAACUUUGUACAAUUUGUGUGGUCAACUGUUUUCGUUGACAUGUCAUCAUGCCGUUUAGUUACAUCUGAUGAAGAAAAGAAGUAAGCUUUGUUUAGACAUUUGGAUGACUUGUAUUCAUCCAAACUUGUGAUAUUGCUUGCUGAAGACAAUUGAAAGCUUUCUGAUAAUUUAAGAAACCCAUAAACCAGAAAUCAAAAUCAUCAACAGUUACUAUUUCUAUGUACUUUUGUGAUGGCUUCUUCACAUUUUCACUUUGGUUCACAGUCUUUAUCUUUCUUAGCGGGAUCAAGACCUGCAUGAAUUUGGAAAAUUCAGGGUUGUUAGCAAGUAGAAAUGUUACUAUUGCUUAAAGAUAUCAGAAAGCAAGGGGAGGGAGAGAGAUAGGGAGAUGCGAUGGCAUUUUCUUGAUUACCUUGUAAUGGAUUCUGACCAUUUUUCCUUCUGAAGAAGACAAUUUAAUUGCUCUCUCACUGCAGAAGGCAAUCUUGUCUGUCGAGAUAAAGAGCAAUCCUGCAAUAGGGCCGGCUGUGGUUGACAAAUAACAUUGGCAAGCCUUCAACAAUCUCUCUCCUUCUCUCACACUAAAUAACUGCCUAAAAACUUUCUUCACCCCUCCUACUUGGAGAAUUCUAGCUCCCAAGCUGAGCUUCCCCUUCAGAGUUUCAGUGAUCUUGGUCCCCAGUCUCACUGAAGUCACACAAAAUUGAGAUGAAUUUAGCUAUCAUCCAUUGUUCAUUGAGGUUCUCAUAGUGCAUGUUUAUACAAAAUUGGAUGAUCCUUAAUCACAAGGGAAUUGCUACCAUCUUACCAUGCUCUCGGAUGCCAUGUGCAAAUUUGUCAGCUUUUUUCCCUAGUUUGUUCAUCCUUUUAAGCACCGAGUCUACUUUAUCUUGCUUGACCGUGAGAGAUUUAUUUGCAGGAGUUGGAACAUAACAUUGGGAAGCAUUUUCAAGUAAAAAUCUUGGCAUUUUCUGAACUGGUUUUGCUGAUGUUGUGUUUGGAACUCCAAAAACUUGUUCCUGAGGAAAAUUCUUCAUAUUUGAUAAAUAGGGAAUGAAGAAGAUUCACUUCUAGCCUUUUGCCUUAGAACUUGUGUGUGGAUUGUUGGAACAACAGAAGGUGCUUUGCUGUGAGAAAUAGAGGGAGCUAAGCUGCUUUGGUUGACGAAAACAUGCAUUCUGCAAGCCUAUAUAAAGGAUAGCUGUGGUUGGUGAUCUCAACUUUUCACUGCAUGAGUCA
rnacentral:misc_RNA from 1 species